ensembl:lncRNA
GUAACCUAACUGCAAGCGAUUUUUAUACACCAGACAGCACUUACACAGCUUAUAUAUUUAACGAGACCAGCAAGAAGCUCAUGGUAUUCUUAAGAGUUAUUUUUGCUCAGAACAGCUCAGAACAAAGCAUGAGAGAGGCACGUCUGGCAUGGAGAUGCUUUCGUGCAGCUCCGUCCAAGAGGCACGCGUUUUACGGGACAAGUUCAAGUGCAGCCCGAGAUGUUCCGGUGACAGAGCACCAGGGUCUCAGACAUAACGUGCUGAACGUUGCUUUGGGCCCUGGGCUGCUCGGGUGGAGCCCUUUGAUUUCAUCUGAAGCAUUCAGAGAAAAAGCCCUGGUGGUAUCGGCUUCCCAUUUCGCAGCGCUCUUUUUCCGAAGCAGCUGAGUGUGCUGGAGAGACAGACUCGCAGCGCAGAAACACAUGGGGCACGCCCUCUGGGAUUUUUCCGUUUCCUCUACAUUAAUGAAGAUUAAAGUGUAAGAAAGGGCAGUCAUCAGUGGAACGGAUAAUUAAUGAUGAUUGAUGAUUUACUUUUAAUUUAAGCCCCACCAUUAAUUCAGAGGCAGCAAGAUGAACAAAGGGAUUGAAGGAGACUAAUGCUUCUGUAAAACUGAUGGGUACCAAUUAUAAGCAAAGCUACAAUGGCACCUUAAUAUGCUUCAUUUUCAGAGAAGAAAGAAUGAACACAAAUACAAGAUCACUACUCAACACAUGUUAAGCUCGCCUCCUGAUUCACUUGGAUGUGAUGGAUAGCUUUGAAUGAGAGCACCUGAGCGUGCUGUAAAGGGCUUAAUUAAAACCAGCAAAAUCGUCAACGCCUGUUCCUUAGGUGAGAUCGGAUACCAGGCCUGCAUUGAUCUGGAGCAGCGCUGUGCUAAAGUCCUCCUUAGGAAAAAAUCGAAAAGAAAGAGAUUGUCAACAAGCAUAUGAAGAGAUGCUCCAUAUCACUCAUCAUUAGGGAAAUGCCAAUAAAAAACCACCAGGAGAUAUCAUCUCACUCCUGUCAGAAUGGCUAUCACCAAAAAGACAAGAGAUAACACGUGCUGGUGAGGGUAUGGAGAAAAGGGAAUCCUCAUGUAUUAUUAGUGGAAAUGUAAACUGGUGCAACCACUACAGAAAACAAAAUAGAGGUUCCUCAAAAUAUUAAAAAUAUAACUAUUGUAUGAUCCAGCAUUUCUAUUUCUGGGUAUUUAUCUGAAAGAAAUGAAAUCAUCAUCUCAAAGUAAGAUCUGCCUCCCUUUGUUUGUUGCAGCAUUUUUUAUGACAGCCAAGACAUGGAAAUAACCUAAGUGUCCUUCAAUGGAUUAAAGAAAAUAUUAUAUAAAUGUCUCCAUACUGGAAUAUUAUUCAGCCAUAAAAAGGAAAUUCUUCCAUUUGCAAAGACAUCAAUGAAACUUGGGUGCAUUACUCUAAAUGAUACAAACCAAACGGAAAAAGACAAAUACCAAAUUCAUUAUAUUCUCACUUAUAUGUGGAAUCUAAAAAACCAAGCUCAUGAAUACAGAUCACUGGUUGCCAGAGUUAGGAGAUAAGAAGGCGGACAAAAUGGAUGAAGGCAGUCAAAAGGCACAAACUUUCAGAUUUCGUUACAGUGACAGGACUGAGCCAUCAAUGGCAGUCAUGCCUGACAAUCCAGAGGAGACAGAUCUGGCCGGACGCCCCACCUUGCCCCCAGCACAAGUACACAUGCCACCCAAGAUGACUCACUGCCGUCUAACAUGUUACACUUUGUGCAACUUCAAAGCCAUGGUCUAAUCACAAAUUUCUGCAAAAGAAUUCACAGCAAAAGUACAGAUUCAACUAAGCUGAAGAAAGAAGUGAAAGCUUUGAAUAUACGACCUUUCCUCCAAAUCUGGAACUUUUAAUAUGAUGAUAAUAAGAAUUAUCUAAAAAUAAGGAGGGAAGAAAGUUUGUUUAAUGCUAUGCUCUGAAAUACCCACUCAUAUGGCCAGUUUGAAGGUUGUUGGA